CAGCCGCCGCGGGAAUACGUAGGUGACAAGCGUUGUCCGGAAUUAUUGGGCGUAAAGGGCUCGCAGGCGGUUUCUUAAGUCUGAUGUGAAAGCCCCCGGCUCAACCGGGGAGGGUCAUUGGAAACUGGGAAACUUGAGUGCAGAAGAGGAGAGUGGAAUUCCACGUGUAGCGGUGAAAUGCGUAGAGAUGUGGAGGAACACCAGUGGCGAAGGCGACUCUCUGGUCUGUAACUGACGCUGAGGAGCGAAAGCGUGGGGAGCGAACAGGAUUAGAUACCCCCGUAGUCCCUGUCUCUUAUAC
rnacentral:rRNA from 1 species